GCAGAGGGCUGGAUGGUCGCGCUGGCCCGCUUAGGGUUGGUGAGGAAAGUCCGGGCUCCACGGAAACAGGGUGCCGGGUAACGCCCGGCGAGCGGAAGCUCAGGGAAAGUGCCACAGAAAGCAAACCGCCAACGACUUCGGUCAAGGU
rnacentral:RNase_P_RNA from 1 species